rnacentral:rRNA from 1 species
UACGUAGGGGGCAAGCGUUGUCCGGAAUUAUUGGGCGUAAAGAGCGCGUAGGCGGUCCGGUAAGUCGGCUGUGAAAGUCAAGGGCUCAACCCUUGAAAGCCGGCCGAUACUGUCGGACUAGAGUCCGGAAGAGGCGAGUGGAAUUCCCGGUGUAGCGGUGAAAUGCGCAGAUAUCAGGAGGAACACCGGUGGCGAAGGCGGAUCUCUGGGCCUUGCCUGACGCUGAGGCGCGAAAGCUAGGGGAGCGAACAGG